rnacentral:rRNA from 1 species
AGGAUGAACGCUGGCGGCGUGCUUAACACAUGCAAGUCGAACGAUGAAGGAGGAGCUUGCUCCUCUGGAUUAGUGGCGAACGGGUGAGUAACACGUGAGCAAUCUGCCCCUGACUCUGGGAUAAGCGCUGGAAACGGCGUCUAAUACCGGAUACGAGCCGAGCAGGCAUCUGCAUCGGUUGGAAAGAACUUCGGUCAGGGAUGAGCUCGCGGCCUAUCAGCUAGUUGGUGAGGUAAUGGCUCACCAAGGCGACGACGGGUAGCCGGCCUGAGAGGGUGACCGGCCACACUGGGACUGAGACACGGCCCAGACUCCUACGGGAGGCAGCAGUGGGGAAUAUUGCACAAUGGGCGCAAGCCUGAUGCAGCAACGCCGCGUGAGGGACGAAGGCCUUCGGGUUGUAAACCUCUUUUAGCAGGGAAGAAGCGAGAGUGACGGUACCUGCAGAAAAAGCACCGGCUAACUACGUGCCAGCAGCCGCGGUAAUACGUAGGGUGCGAGCGUUAUCCGGAAUUAUUGGGCGUAAAGAGCUCGUAGGCGGUCUGUCGCGUCUGCUGUGAAAACCCGAGGCUCAACCUCGGGCUUGCAGUGGGUACGGGCAGACUAGAGUGCGGUAGGGGAGAUUGGAAUUCCUGGUGUAGCGGUGGAAUGCGCAGAUAUCAGGAGGAACACCGAUGGCGAAGGCAGAUCUCUGGGCCGUUACUGACGCUGAGGAGCGAAAGCGUGGGGAGCAAACAGGCUUAGAUACCCUGGUAGUCCACGCCGUAAACGUUGGGAACU